AUUGAACGCUGGCGGCAGGCCUAACACAUGCAAGUCGAGCGGAUGAAGGGAGCUUGCUCCUGGAUUCAGCGGCGGACGGGUGAGUAAUGCCUAGGAAUCUGCCUGGUAGUGGGGGAUAACGUCCGGAAACGGGCGCUAAUACCGCAUACGUCCUGAGGGAGAAAGUGGGGGAUCUUCGGACCUCACGCUAUCAGAUGAGCCUAGGUCGGAUUAGCUAGUUGGUGGGGUAAAGGCCUACCAAGGCGACGAUCCGUAACUGGUCUGAGAGGAUGAUCAGUCACACUGGAACUGGGACACGGUCCAGACUCCUACGGGAGGCGGCAGUGGGGAAUAUUGGACAAUGGGCGAAAGCCUGAUCCAGCCAUGCCGCGUGUGUGAAGAAGGUCUUCGGAUUGUAAAGCACUUUAAGUUGGGAGGAAGGGCAGUAAGUUAAUACCUUGCUGUUUUGACGUUACCAACAGAAUAAGCACCGGCUAACUUCGUG
rnacentral:rRNA from 1 species